AUGUACCACUCGUACACUCCGGUUCCUGUGCGCCGUCCGCACCCACCUGACGACUGCUCUCGUCGUCG
rnacentral:sRNA from 1 species